rnacentral:misc_RNA from 1 species
AACGCACAUUGCGCCCCUUGGUACUCCAUGGGGCAUGCCUGUUCGAGCGUCAUUUACACCCUCAAGCUCAGCUUGGUGUUGGGCGUCUGUCCCGCUUCGUGCGCGGACUCGCCUCAAAUGCAUUGGCAGCGGUCUUGCCAGCUUCUCGCGCAGCACAUUGCGCUUCUAGAGGCUUUGGCGGAUCGGCGUCCAUCAAGCACACCCACAGUUUGACCUCGGAUCAGGUAGGGAUACCCGCUGAACUUAA